UAGGGAAUAUUGGGCAAUGGAGGCAACUCUGACCCAGCCAUGCCGCGUGAAGGAAGAAGGCCCUAUGGGUCGUAAACUUCUUUUAUCAUAGAGUAACCGUGGGGACGUGUCCCCACCUGCAAGUAUAUGAUGAAUAAGCACCGGCUAACUCCGUGCCAGCAGCCGCGGUAAUACGGAGGGUGCAAGCGUUAUCCGGAUUUAUUGGGUUUAAAGGGUGCGCAGGCGGAUCGAUAAGUCAGAGGUGAAAUUUUGCAGCUUAACUGCAACACUGCCUUUGAUACUGUCGGACUAGAGUUUAAUUGACGUUAUUGGAAUGAGAUGUGUAGCGGUGAAAUGCUUAGAUAUGUCUCAGAACGCCGAUCGUGAAGACAGGUAACGAAAUUAAUACUGACGCUCAGGCACGAAAGCGUGGGGAUCAAACA
rnacentral:rRNA from 1 species